AGUGAACGCUGGCGGUAGGCCUAACACAUGCAAGUCGAACGGCAGCACAGAGGAGCUUGCUCCUUGGGUGGCGAGUGGCGGACGGGUGAGGAAUACAUCGGAAUCUACUCUGUCGUGGGGGAUAACGUAGGGAAACUUACGCUAAUACCGCAUACGACCUACGGGUGAAAGCAGGGAUCUUCGGACCUUGCGCGAUUGAAUGAGCCGAUGUCGGAUUAGCUAGUUGGCGGGGUAAAGGCCCACCAAGGCGACGAUCCGUAGCUGGUCUGAGAGGAUGAUCAGCCACACUGGAACUGAGACACGGUCCAGACUCCUACGGGAGGCAGCAGUGGGGAAUAUUGGACAAUGGGCGCAAGCCUGAUCCAGCCAUACCGCGUGGGUGAGGAAGGCCUUCGGGUUGUAAAGCCCUUUUGUCGGGAAAGAAAUCCAGCUGGUUAAUACCCGGUUGGGAUGACGGUACCCAAAGAAUAAGCACCGGCUAACUUCGUGCCAGCCGCCGCGGUAA
rnacentral:rRNA from 1 species